rnacentral:rRNA from 1 species
UACGGAGGGUGCGAGCGUUGUCCGGAAUCAUUGGGCGUAAAGCGCGCGCAGGCGGCCUUUUAAGUCUGCUGGUGAAAUGCCGGGGCUCAACCCCGUGCCCGCCACAGAUACUGGGAGGCUGGAGACAUGUAGAGGCAAGCGGAAUUCCGGGUGUAGCGGUGGAAUGCGAGAGAUCCGGAAGAACACCGGAGGCGAAGGCGGCUUGCUGGGCACUGGUCUGACG